GAUGCUUAUUGAACUUGUCUGCGGCAACAACAUGCGUAUACCAAGAAAGCUCUUUUAUUUGUAAAAUUAGUAUCGAUGAUGGGUACAUAGCACCAACAGGGCAGGCCACGUCGGCCAGGAUGUCUUGUCUAGCCUAGCCAGGACAAAUGAACCGUUCUCAUGCGCGUUGAGUCGUUGCAAGAUAAGUAUAUAUGCUUAUUUUAAUAUGUUGUCGCCAUCAGAUUUACUUAGGCAAGCAUACAAUAUUAGCAGAUUAAUCAUUUUUAGGCUAUAGGUAUAUUACUACUACUAUU